rnacentral:rRNA from 1 species
GACAGAGGGUGCAAACGUUGUUCGGAAUUACUGGGCGUAAAGCGCGUGUAGGCGGCCCUGCAAGUCGGGUGUGAAAUCCCACGGCUCAACCGUGGAAGUGCACUCGAAACUGCAGUGCUAGAAUCCUGGAGAGGCGAGUGGAAUUCCGAGUGUAGAGGUGAAAUUCGUAGAUAUUCGGAAGAACACCAGUGGCGAAGGCGGCUAUCUGGAAGGUAACUGACGCUCAGGCACGAAAGCGUGGGGAGCAAAAGGG